rfam:Citrus sinensis cultivar Ridge Pineapple sweet orange scaffold00020_contig_106, whole genome shotgun sequence.
AUACCUUUCUCGGCCUUUUGGCUAAGAUCAAGUGUAGUAUCUGUUCUUAUCAGUUUAAUAUCUGAUAUGUGGACCAAUGGUCCACACGAUAUUAAAUUAAUUUUUUGAGGGGGAGGGCCCGUUACAGUAGCUUGCUGCUGGGGUUCUCAUGCGUCGCCCAUGCGUUGCACUACAGCAAGGGCCGGGCGCGCCCCCC